rnacentral:rRNA from 1 species
AACCCCUUACCUUUAGUUGCCAUCAGGUUAAGCGUGGGGACUACUAAAGGAACUGCCUACGCAAGUAGUGAGGAAGGCGGGGAUGACGUCAAAUCAGCACGGCCCUUACGUCCAGGGCUACACACGUGCUACAAUGGCCGAUACAGAGGGCAGCUACCUGGUGACAGGAUGACAAAUCUCCAAAGUCGGUCUCAGUUCGGAUCGGAGUCUGCAACCCGACUCCGUGAAGUUGGAUUCGCUAGUAAUCGCGCAUCAGCCAUGGCGCGGUGAAUACGUUCCCGGGCCUU